AUUGAACGCUGGCGGCAUGCUUUACACAUGCAAGUCGAACGGCAGCACGGGUGCUUGCACCUGGUGGCGAGUGGCGAACGGGUGAGUAAUGUAUCGGAACGUACCCGGCAAUGGGGGAUAACGUAGCGAAAGUUACGCUAAUACCGCAUAUGCCCUGAGGGGGAAAGUGGGGGAUUGCAAGACCUCACGUUGUCGGAGCGGCCGAUAUCAGAUUAGCUAGUUGGUGGGGUAAAGGCCUACCAAGGCGACGAUCUGUAGCUGGUCUGAGAGGACCACCAGCCACACUGGGACUGAGACACGGCCCAGACUCCUACGGGAGGCAGCAGUGGGGAAUUUUGGACAAUGGGGGCAACCCUGAUCCAGCCAUGCCGCGUGAGUGAAGAAGGCCUUCGGGUUGUAAAGCUCUUUCGGACAGAAAGAAAUCGCCACUUCUAAUAAAGGUGGUGGAUGACGGUACUGUAAGAAGAAGCACCGGCUAACUACGUGCCAGCAGCCGCCGUAA
rnacentral:rRNA from 1 species